UUGACCUCAAAUCAGGUGGGACUACCCGCUGAACUUAA
rnacentral:rRNA from 4 species